rnacentral:rRNA from 1 species
UACAGAGGGUGCGAGCGUUAAUCGGAAUUACUGGGCGUAAAGGGCGCGUAGGUGGAUGCGUAAGUCGGAUGUGAAAUCCCUGGGCUUAACCUGGGAAUGGCAUACGAUACUGGGCAUCUAGAGUUGAGUAGAGGGAAGUGGAAUUUCCGGUGUAGCGGUGAAAUGCGUAGAUAUCGGAAGGAACACCAGUGGCGAAGGCGGCUUCCUGGACUCAAACUGACGCUGAGGCGCGAAAGCGUGGGGAGCAAACAGG